UUAGGAGUGCUCCUCUUUCUCGUUCUAUAAAAAGGACCCAACAUGCCACACUUGUAAGCACACCAACUAAAACUUCCACUAUACUUUAUAUGUAUGGAACAGUUGUGGCUUCUGGGUCAUUGCCAAAAAUAGGGUUUUGGUUCUGGCUGAUGGCUGAUGCAACUGUCUGCGAGAUGCUACUUGGGUAGUGCUUCUACUGCCUAAAUAUUAAAAGGGUUUGAAGGGAUAUGAUCAUAGAUCUGAUGAUGAAGGAUUUUGCAGUGUUUCAUCAUCAAAAGACUACUUGGGUUUUUAUAUUAAUUAAAUAUCCUCUCUCUCUCUCUCUCUCUCUCUCUCUCUCCAUGGAUGCUACAGAUGAACAGAGUCUUAUUGGUUCAUGUGAUUUAAUAAAAUGAGAAUUACUGCUUUUGUUCAUAUUAUUUAAAUAUAUGGCACUAAAGAUAAAUAGCUUCUGGUCUUACAGGAAGGAGACAAGAUUAAUUUCCUAUGAAAACAUCAGCUCAAAAUGUGUUCACAGUUCACACUGCAUGAGGCAGAAGAAUUUUUGUAUUGAGAUAAAGCAAUUGACCUAACUAUAAAAUUCUCUUUCGCAUGAUACUAAUUAAUUAAACACAUCUUAUUAUUAAUUAUCUGUCUUAUUACUUUUCUUUCUUCUUUCUCUCUCCCUAGUUUUGGAUCAGAAGCAUGCCCACUUCUUUCCAAGCAAGGCAGAUAUCGAUGUUUAGCUGUGAUCAUUUGGGUACUAAGAAGCCUGGGAAAAAUGUAGCUUCCCAAUUUCCAAUCUGUUUUCCACCUGAAUAAUACAUUGCUAAGCAUAAAAAUAUUUGAUGAAUCGAGGCUUUCUAUUCAAAUAUGAAUCAGUGUUUGUAGUGCAGUACAUGAUCUAUACGAAUUCAAUGGUCAAUUUGUAAAAAUGUGAUAUAUAUUUUUGGGUGAUUUACAAUUUAUUGGUUUGUAAA